rnacentral:lncRNA from 1 species
UGUGUGUGCGCGUGUAUCUCUGUGGGGGCGGGUGUGGAGUUCCGACCAGCGGCACCGUCCUCCCGCGAGGGAAACGGCCGGAGAGGAACGAAGCGAAGCGAGUGACAGCAAUGAUCGUUUGUUUGUUUGUUCUCAUGUGUCAUUGUAAUCGCACGGGAAGAAUUGCUAUGCGCAGGCGCAUGGGAUGCUACUAAAUACAGUGCUCAGGCGGGAGUAGGAAUAAGAAGUCGCACUUGUAGAAGAUAGACGAGUAAAUGAGAUUCUGGGAUUGGGAUGAAGAAAGGGAGCAACGAUCGGAGCAUUUGCAUUUGUUUAAGAGAUUCUCCACUGGAGCCAAAGUGGGAAGGACCCUAUCAAGUCCUUCUAACUACGCACAUGGUAGUCAAGGUGAAAGGGUUGGUCCCGUGGAUACAUCAUACCUGUGUGAAGGAAGUGUCUCAACCGCACUGGACCUGGGCAAAUCAAACGGAACAAGACUCCUGCAUUGCAGUCAACAACAGAUCCUUUCCAAACACGCCUCGCUGGGAUUUUCAACGGUCUGCACUUUGAAAUUAUGUGGGAAACGGGGAGCAUUCUUUUGUGGUGAGAAAAACAUAGGUGCCAGACUCCUUGUCGGCAAGACAACGAGGAAGAGUGUUUACUUCAUCCCAAGGGACCAGAUGGGGAUGCGACCAUCCAGAGGAGAAUACAAUGCGUGCGCCGGAGGGGAGGGACUUGAUUAAUGAAUACGUAGUGGGGUUCAACGUAAUGUAUGAACUUGACUUACAAAUAUGUAACAUUUCUGUGGACCGGUAUGCAAGUUAGGAGGAGCUAUCCCCCUUGCAUCCAGCUUUGCGCAGCGUUGAUUAAAACAUACCUGAUUUUAU